rnacentral:rRNA from 1 species
UACAGAGGUGGCAAGCGUUGUUCGGAAUUACUGGGCGUAAAGGGCGCGUAGGCGGCCUUCUAAGUCAGACGUGAAAUCCCCCGGCUUAACCUGGGAACUGCGUCUGAUACUGGGAGGCUUGAGUAUGGGAGAGGGAUGUAGAAUUCCAGGUGUAGCGGUGAAAUGCGUAGAUAUCUGGAGGAAUACCGGUGGCGAAGGCGGCAUCCUGGACCGGCAUUGACGCUGAUGAGCGAAAGCUAGGGGAGCAAACGGG